rnacentral:rRNA from 1 species
CCUACAGGAGGCAGCAGUGAGGAAUAUUGGUCAAUGGGCGAGAGCCUGAACCAGCCAAGUCGCGUGAGGGAGUACUGCCCUAUGGGUUGUAAACCUCUUUUGUCGGGGAGCAAAAGCCGGACGUGUCCGGCUGUGAUAGUACCCGAAGAAAAAGCAUCGGCUAACUCCGUGCCAGCAGCCGCGGUAAUACGGAGGAUGCGAGCGUUAUCCGGAUUUAUUGGGUUUAAAGGGUGCGUAGGCGGAAGGUUAAGUCAGCGGUCAAAUGUCGGUGCUCAACACCGGCCUGCCGUUGAAACUGGUCUUCUUGAGUGAGCGAGAAGUAUGCGGAAUGCGUGGUGUAGCGGUGAAAUGCAUAGAUAUCACGCAGAACUCCGAUUGCGAAGGCAGCAUACCGGCGCUCAACUGACGCUGAGGCACGAAAGCGUGGGGAUCGAACAGGAUUAGAUACCCGGGUAGUC